AGUGAGAGAUAGGAGGAGACGAAUUGGCUGAAAGAGACAUUCAGGAGAUGGCUUCAUGGAUAUUUAUAAGUACCUCCAUGGGGAGAAAGUACCGGGCAGUAAAGCGCCUCACUGCCCAGUGGAGGACCAAGGCAUCGAUGCUGAAGGAGGAGAGGAGGAAUCUGACGGUCUCUGGACACCUGUUGCCUUCAUUGCUCUCUUCCUGCUCAGCCUGUUGUACAGCGCCGGCGUCACGCUGCUUAAGGUAACAGCAACCGCUGCCUUCAUGGCCACGCGUCACUGCUUCCAGCAAUAACCA